CCUCUUUCCAAACCCGAGAGACGAGGAAUGUUGCUGUGCACAAGGACAUGCCCAGUGAGAUUAGAGGCUAUAACCAUGGGAACUGGGCCAUAUAGAGCAAGAUAAAGUGGAGGAGAAGAGCCAAGGAAGAGGUGUCAUUAGAAGAAGGGAAUUGGAGAUCAUUUUCAGAGGACUAAAUUAUUUUGGUUUAAUUUUGGCAUGAGAGCUGAGUUCUAGGGAGGGUUUUGUUUUCUUCCUUGUUAUUGUGGUUAGUUUUGUUUUGUCUUAAUUGCUAAUUAUUUCCAAAUCUCCAAAAGGAAGUUGAAAAGACUCAUUUAAUUAUUUAUUUAUUGCUCUGAUC
rnacentral:lncRNA from 12 species